rnacentral:rRNA from 1 species
GGGAACUUGAGUGCAGAGGAGGAGAGUGGAAUUCCACGUGUAGGGGUGAAAUGCUUAGAGAUGUGGAGGAACACCAGUGGCGAAGGCGACUCUCUGGUCUGUAACUGACGCUGAGGAGCGAAAGCGUGGGGAGCGAACAUGAUUAGAUACCCUGGUAGUCCACGCCGUAAACGAUGAGUGCUAAGUGUUAGGGGGUUUCCGCCCCUUAGUGCUGCAGCUAACGCAUUAAGCACUCCGCCUGGGGAGUACGGUCGCAAGACUGAAACUCAAAGGAAUUGACGGGGGCCCGCACAAGCGGUGGAGCAUGUGGUUUAAUUCGAAGCAACGCGAAGAACCUUACCAGGUCUUGACAUCCUCUGACAAUCCUAGAGAUAGGACGUCCCCUUCGGGGGCAGAGUGACAGGUGGUGCAUGGUUGUCGUCAGCUCGUGUCGUGAGAUGUUGGGUUAAGUCCCGCAACGAGCGCAACCCUUGAUCUUAGUUGCCAGCAUUCAGUUGGGCACUCUAAGGUGACUGCCGGUGACAAACCGGAGGAAGGUGGGGAUGACGUCAAAUCAUCAUGCCCCUUAUGACCUGGGCUACACACGUGCUACAAUGGACAGAACAAAGGGCAGCGAAACCGCGAGGUUAAGCCAAUCCCACAAAUCUGUUCUCAGUUCGGAUCGCAGUCUGCAACUCGACUGCGUGAAGCUGGAAUCGCU